AGAGUUUGAUCAUGGCUCAGAGCGAACGCUGCGGCAGGCUUAACACAUGCAAGUCGAGCGGGCGUAGCAAUACGUCAGCGGCAGACGGGUGAGUAACGCGUGGGAACGUACCUUUUGGUUCGGAACAACACAGGGAAACUUGUGCUAAUACCGGAUAAGCCCUUACGGGGAAAGAUUUAUCGCCGAAAGAUCGGCCCGCGUCUGAUUAGCUAGUUGGUGAGGUAACGGCUCACCAAGGCGACGAUCAGUAGCUGGUCUGAGAGGAUGAUCAGCCACAUUGGGACUGAGACACGGCCCAAACUCCUACGGGAGGCAGCAGUGGGGAAUAUUGGACAAUGGGCGCAAGCCUGAUCCAGCCAUGCCGCGUGAGUGAUGAAGGCCCUAGGGUUGUAAAGCUCUUUUGUGCGGGAAGAUAAUGACGGUACCGCAAGAAUAAGCCCCGGCUAACUUCGUGCCAGCAGCCGCGGUAAUACGAAGGGGGCUAGCGUUGCUCGGAAUCACUGGGCGUAAAGGGUGCGUAGGCGGGUCUUUAAGUCAGGGGUGAAAUCCUGGAGCUCAACUCCAGAACUGCCUUUGAUACUGAAGAUCUUGAGUUCGGGAGAGGUGAGUGGAACUGCGAGUGUAGAGGUGAAAUUCGUAGAUAUUCGCAAGAACACCAGUGGCGAAGGCGGCUCACUGGCCCGAUACUGACGCUGAGGCACGAAAGCGUGGGGAGCAAACAGGAUUAGAUACCCUAGUAGUCC
rnacentral:rRNA from 1 species